GGCCAGACUCCUACGGGAGGCAGCAGUGGGGAAUAUUGCACAAUGGGGGAAACCCUGAUGCAGCGACGCCGCGUGAAGGAAGAAGUCUUUCGGUAUGUAAACUUCUAUCAGCAGGGAAGAAAAUGACGGUACCUGACUAAGAAGCCCCGGCUAACUACGUGCCAGCAGCCGCGGUAAUACGUAGGGGGCAAGCGUUAUCCGGAUUUACUGGGUGUAAAGGGAGCGUAGGCGGCGAUGCAAGUCAGAAGUGAAAGCCCGGGGCUCAACUCCGGGACUGCAUUUGGAACUGUGCUGCUAGAGUGUCGGAGAGGCAGGCGGAAUUCCUAGUGUAGCGGUGAAAUGCGUAGAUAUUAGGAGGAACACCAGUGGCGAAGGCGGCCUGCUGGACGAUGACUGACGUUGAGGCUCGAAAGCGUGGGGAGCAAACAGGAUUAGAUACCCCAGUAA
rnacentral:rRNA from 1 species